rnacentral:rRNA from 1 species
GAUGAACGCUAGCGGCAGGCCUAACACAUGCAAGUCGAGGGAGAAGCCCUUUCGGGGGCAGAAACCGGCGCACGGGUGCGUAACGCGUAUGCAACCUACCUUUCACAGGGGGAUAGCCCGAAGAAAUUUGGAUUAAUACCCCAUAAUAUUAUUGGAUGGCAUCAUUUGAUAAUUAAAACUGCGGUGGUGAAAGAUGGGCAUGCGUCCUAUUAGCUAGUUGGAGUGGUAACGGCACCCCAAGGCUACGAUAGGUAGGGGUCCUGAGAGGGAGAUCCCCCACACUGGUACUGAGACAGAGACCAGAAUCCUACGGGAGGCAGCAGUGAGGAAUAUUGGUCAAUGGUCGGAAGACUGAACCAGCCAUGCCGCGUGCAGGAAGAAUGCCUUAUGGGUUGUAAACUGCUUUUAUAUGGGAAGAAUAAGGCGUACGUGUACGUUGAUGACGGUACCAUAUGAAUAAGCAUCGGCUAACUCCGUG